ensembl:rRNA 5S_rRNA 5S ribosomal RNA
GUCUGUGGCCAUGCUACCCUGAACGCUCCCAAUCUCUGAUUUUGGCAGAUAAGCAGCAGGGUAGGGCCUGGUUAGAGCAUGGAUUGGAGGCUGCCUGGGAAUACCAAGGGCUGUAGACU